AUGAACGCUAGCGACAGGCCUAACACAUGCAAGUCGAGGGCAGCACAGAGCAAUCUGAGGUGGCGACCGGCGCACGGGUGAGUAACACGUAUGCAACCUGCCUGUAAGCGGGGAAUAACCCGUUGAAAGACGGACUAAUACCGCAUAAUACUAAAUUACUGCAUGGUAAUUUAUUUAAACAUUUAUGGCUUACAGAUGGGCAUGCGCAUGAUUAGCUAGUUGGAGAGGUAACGGCUCCCCAAGGCAACGAUCAUUAGGGGUUCUGAGAGGAAGGUCCCCCACACUGGUACUGAGACACGGACCAGACUCCUACGGGAGGCAGCAGUGAGGAAUAUUGGUCAAUGGACGAGAGUCUGAACCAGCCAAGUCGCGUGCAGGAAGAAUGUUCCCUAUGGAUUGUAAACUGCUUUUGCAGGGGAAUAAAGUGCAUCACGUGUGAUGUUUUGUAUGUACUCUGCGAAUAAGGAUCGGCUAACUCCGUGCCAGCAGCAGC
rnacentral:rRNA from 1 species